CAAAAUACAGUGUUGACGCAAACAAACAUAAAUUUCUUGUUAUAAUAUCAAGAUUGCCUUGAGUACAUACCUUGUGGAUAUUUUCUACAUCUGCAUCACAACCUCGAGAUUUCUGCACCAGGGCUCCACUUCCUGCAAUAAGAGAAAAAUGCUGAAGAGAAGAAAGAAGAAAAAUAUGAAGCUUGAAGAGUUUUAAUUAAGAAAGUACUUGUAAUUGGGACUGCAUUAAUCAUUAAUAUAAGUUGAGACAAACAGACAAGAAUGACUACUAGGCGAAUUGAAAUGCAAGCCAUUUCCCAAUUUCUUAGUCUUCCUGUAAAGCAAAUAAGUGUUCAAUUUAUACAUUUUUAGUUUGGACAUUGGGAAGUUGGGCACUAAGGGAGUUUGUGGUGUCAGGUUAUGUCAAUAACAUUGUAGUCAAAAGGGUGUCUCCUGAUCAAGUUUGUUUUUAAGUUGAAG
rnacentral:lncRNA from 1 species